rnacentral:rRNA from 1 species
UGGGGGAUAUUGCACAAUGGGCGAAAGCCUGAUGCAGCGACGCCGCGUGGGGGAUGAAGGCCUUCGGGUUGUAAACUUCUUUUGCUCUGAACAAGGCGCACCAUGGGGUGUGUUGAGUGUAGGGGUUGAUUAGCGCCGGCUAACUACGUGCCAGCAGCCGCGGUAAUACGUAGGGCGCGAGCGUUGUCCGGAAUUAUUGGGCGUAAAGGGCUUGUAGGUGGCUGGUUGCGUCUGUCGUGAAAGCUCAUGGCUUAACUGUGGGUUUGCGGUGGGUACGGGCUGGCUUGAGUGCAGUAGGGGAGGCUGGAAUUCCUGGUGUAGCGGUGGGAUGCGCAGAUAUCAGGAGGAAUACCGGUGGCGAAGGCGGGUCUCUGGGCUGUUACUGACACUGAAAAGCGAAAGAAUAGGGAGCGAACAGG